rnacentral:rRNA from 1 species
GAUGAACGCUGGCGGCGUGCCUAAUACAUGCAAGUCGAGCGAACGGACGAGAAGCUUGCUUCUCUGAUGUUAGCGGCGGACGGGUGAGUAACAUGUGGAUAACCUACCUAUAAGACUGGGAUAACUUCGGGAAACCGGCGCUAAUACCGGAUAAUAUUUUGAACCGCAUGGUUCAAAAGUGAAAGACGGUCUUGCUGUCACUUAUAGAUGGUUCCGCGCUGCAUUAGCUAGUUGGUAAGGUAACGGCUUACCAAGGCAACGAUGCAUAGCCGACCUGAGAGGGUGAUCGGCCACACGGGAACUGAGACGCGGUCCAGACUCCUACGGGAGGCACCAGUAGCGAAUCGUCCGCAAUAGGCGAAAGCCUGACGGAGCAACGCCGCGUGAGUGAUGAAGGUCUUCGGAUCGUAAAACUCUGUUAUUAGGGAAGAACAUAUGUGUAAGUAACUGUGCACAUCUUGACGGUACCUAAUCAGAAAGCCACGGCUAACUACGUG